ACAUCUUUGUGUAGAAAGUCUUAGAAUGUUUACUAUCAUUGAGUCACGACUCUUAGGAGACGUGGGUCUUUGAGAUAAAAGUUUAUUACAACUUUCAGCAAUGGAUCUCUUGGCUCUCGCAUCGAUGAAGAACGCAGCGAAACGCGAUAUGUAAUGUG
rnacentral:rRNA from 1 species